GUAGGGAAUAUUGCGCAAUGGACGAAAGUCUGACGCAGCGACGCCGCGUGAGUGAUGAAGGCCUUAGGGUCGUAAAGCUCUGUUGAAUGGGAAGAAAAAAAUGACGGUACCAUUCGAGGAAGGACCGGCUAACUUCGUGCCAGCAGCCGCGGUAAUACGAGGGGUCCUAGCGUUGUUCGGAAUCAUUGGGCGUAAAGGGUGUGUAGGUGGCCAUGUAAGUCAGGUGUGAAAGCCCCGGGCUCAACCCGGGAAGUGCACUUGAUACUGCGUGGCUUGAGUACCGAAGAGGGUAGUGGAAUUCCAGGUGUAGUGGUGAAAUACGUAGAUAUCUGGAGGAACACCGGUGGCGAAGGCGGCUACCUGGUCGAGUACUGACACUGAGACACGAAAGCAUGGGGAUCAAACAGGAUUAGAUACCCUAGUAGUCC
rnacentral:rRNA from 1 species